GCCGGAGUGGCGGAAUGGCAGACGCACUUGACUCAAAAUCAAGCGAUGAAUAGUCGUGUGGGUUCAAGUCCCACCUCCGGCA
rfam:Anaeroglobus geminatus F0357 genomic scaffold Scfld63, whole genome shotgun sequence.